rnacentral:rRNA from 1 species
AAAUUGAAGAGUUUGAUCAUGGCUCAGAUUGAACGCUGGCGGCAGGCCUAACACAUGCAAGUCGAACGGUAACAGAAAGCAGCUUGCUGCUUUGCUGACGAGUGGCGGACGGGUGAGUAAUGUCUGGGAAACUGCCUGAUGGAGAGGGAUAACUACUGGAAACGGUAGCUAAUACCGCAUAACGUCGCAAGACCAAAGAGGGGGACCUUCGGGCCUCUUGCCAUCGGAUGUGCCCAGAUGGGAUUAGCUAGUAGGUGGGGUAACGGCUCACCUAGGCGACGAUCCCUAGCUGGUCUGAGAGGAUGACCAGCCACACUGGAACUGAGACACGGUCCAG